GUGGCCUAGUGGUUAUAGCGUCCGUCUCAGAUGCGGGGGGUCGUGGGUUCAGUCCCCGGUCAAGUCA